rnacentral:rRNA from 1 species
AACGAACGCUGGCGGCAGGCUUAACACAUGCAAGUCGAGCGCCCCGCAAGGGGAGCGGCAGACGGGUGAGUAACGCGUGGGAAUCUACUGUACCCUACGGAAUAGCUCCGGGAAACUGGAAUUAAUACCGUAUACGCCCUACGGGGGAAAGAUUUAUCGGGGUAUGAUGAGCCCGCGUUGGAUUAGCUAGUUGGUGGGGUAAAGGCCUACCAAGGCGACGAUCCAUAGCUGGUCUGAGAGGAUGAUCAGCCACAUUGGGACUGAGACACGGCCCAAACUCCUACGGGAGGCAGCAGUGGGGAAUAUUGGACAAUGGGCGCAAGCCUGAUCCAGCCAUGCCGCGUGAGUGAUGAAGGUCUUAGGAUUGUAGAGCUCUUUCACCGAUGAAGAUAAUGACGGUAGUCGGAGAAGAAGCCCCGGCUAACUUCGUGCCAGCCGCCGCAGUAACAC